AAUCUUCCGCAAUGGACGCAAGUCUGACGGAGCAACGCCGCGUGAACGAUGAAGGCCUUCGGGUCGUAAAGUUCUGUUGUUAGGGAAGAACAAGUAUUGUUCGAAUAGGGCAGUACCUUGACGGUACCUAACCAGAAAGCCACGGCUAACUACGUGCCAGCAGCCGCGGUGAUACGUAGGUGGCAAGCGUUGUCCGGAAUUAUUGGGCGUAAAGCGCGCGCAGGCGGUCUUUUAAGUCUGAUGUGAAAGCCCCCGGCUCAACCGGGGAGGGUCAUUGGAAACUGGGAGACUUGAGUGCAGAAGAGGAGAGUGGAAUUCCAUGUGUAGCGGUGAAAUGCGUAGAUAUAGGAAGGAACACCAGUGGCGAAGGCGACCACCUGGGCUAAUACUGACACUGAGGUGCGAAAGCGUGGGGAGCAAAC
rnacentral:rRNA from 1 species